AGCAUAUCAAUAAGCGGAGGAAAAGAAACCAACAGGGAUUGCCCUAGUAACGGCGAGUGAAGCGGCAACAGCUCAAAUUUGAAAUCUGGCCUCGGCCCGAGUUGUAAUUUGUAGAGGAAGCUUUAGGCGCGGCACCUUCUGAGUCCCCUGGAACGGGGCGCCACAGAGGGUGAGAGCCCCGUAUAGUUGGAUGCCUAGCCUGUGUAAAGCUCCUUCGACGAGUCGAGUAGUUUGGGAAUGCUGCUCAAAAUGGGAGGUAAAUUUCUUCUAAAGCUAAAUACCGGCCAGAGACCGAUAGCGCACAAGUAGAGUGAUCGAAAGAUGAAAAGCACUUUGAAAAGAGGGUUAAAUAGCACGUGAAAUUGUUGAAAGGGAAGCGCUUGUGACCAGACUUGCGCCGGGCGGAUCAUCCGGUGUUCUCACCGGUGCACUCCGCCCGGCUCAGGCCAGCAUCGGUUCUCGCGGGGGGAUAAAGGCCCCGGGAACGUAGCUCCUCCGGGAGUGUUAUAGCCCGGGGCGUAAUGUCCUCGCGGGGACCGAGGACCGCGCAUCUGCAAGGAUGCUGGCGUAAUGGUCACCAGCGACCCGUCUUGAAACACGGACCAAGGAGUCAAGGUUUUGCGCGAGUGUUUGGGUGUAAAACCCGCACGCGUAAUGAAAGUGAACGUAGGUGAGAGCUUCGGCGCAUCAUCGACCGAUCCUGAUGUAUUCGGAUGGAUUUGAGUAGGAGCGUUAAGCCUUGGACCCGAAAGAUGGUGAACUAUGCUUGGAUAGGGUGAAGCCAGAGGAAACUCUGGUGGAGGCUCGCAGCGGUUCUGACGUGCAAAUCGAUCGUCAAAUCUGAGCAUGGGGGCGAAAGACUAAUCGAACCAUCUAGUAGCUGGUUACCGCCGAAG
rnacentral:rRNA from 1 species